AUUCCAGCUCCAAUAGCGUAUAUUAAAGUUGUUGCAGUUAAAAAGCUCGUAGUUGAACUCCUGACUAUUGCGUAAGCCGGAUUCGUUCGCUCUCGUGAUAGUCAUCCGCUUGGGAACUCCGUUCGAACUUAACUGUUUGGCGGAAGGAACAGGCAUUUUACUUUGAAAAAAUUAGAGUGUUCAAGGCAGGCUAUAGCCCUGAAUACACAAGCAUGGAAUAAUGAGAUAGGACUGGUUCCAUUUUAUUGGUUAUUGGACUAGUAAUGAUUAAUAGGGACAGUUGGGGGCAUUAGUAUUUAAUUGUCAGAGGUGGAAUUCUCAGAUUUGUUAAAGACUAACUUAUGCGAAAGCAUUUGCCAAGGAUGUUUUCAUCA
rnacentral:rRNA from 1 species